rnacentral:rRNA from 1 species
ACACGGACCAAGGAGUGCAACAUGUGCGCGAGCCGCUUGGCAAGUAAACCAGAAGGCGCAAUGAAAGUGAAGGCACGGCCGCCGUGCUGAGGUGAGAGCUGCCCCCGGGCGGCACAUCAUCGACCGAUCCUAUCCGCUCCCUCGUGGUGCGGCGGGAUUCGAGUAAGAGUGCAUCUGUUGCGACCCGAAAGAUGGUGAACUAUGCCUGAAUAGGGUGAAGCCAGAGGAAACUCUGGUGGAGGCCCGUAGCGAUUCUGACGUGCAAAUCGAUCGUCAAAUUUGGGUAUAGGGGCGAAAGACUAAUCGAACCAUCUAGUAGCUGGUUCCCUCCGAAGUUUCCCUCAGGAUAGCUGUAGCCCGAAGCAGUUUUAUCAGGUAAAGCGAAUGAUUAGAGGUAUCGGGGAAGAAACUUUCUCGACCUAUUCUCAAACUUUAAAUAGGUAAGAAGUCCGACUUGCUCAAUUUGAAGCCGGACACAGAAUGCUGGGUUACUAGUGGGCCAUUUUUGGUAAGCAGAACUGGCGAUGCGGGAUGAACCGAACGCCGAGUUAAGGUGCCAAAGUCGACGCUCAUCAGAUCCCACAAAAGGUGUUGGUUGAUAUAGACAGCAGGACGGUGGCCAUGGAAGUCGGAAUCCGCUAAGGAGUGUGUAACAACU